rnacentral:rRNA from 1 species
CCUACGGGUGGCUGCAGUGGGGAAUAUUGGACAAUGGGCGAAAGCCUGAUCCAGCCAUGCCGCGUGUGUGAAGAAGGCCUUCGGGUUGUAAAGCACUUUCAGUGGGGAAGAAAGCCUUGGGGCUAAUACCCUCGAGGAAGGACAUCACCGACAGAAGAAGCACCGGCUAACUCCGUGCCAGCAGCCGCGGUAAUACGGAGGGUGCGAGCGUUAAUCGGAAUUACUGGGCGUAAAGCGCGCGUAGGCGGUCUGAUAAGCCGGUUGUGAAAGCCCCGGGCUCAACCUGGGAACGGCAUCCGGAACUGUCAGGCUAGAGUGCAGGAGAGGAAGGUAGAAUUCCCGGUGUAGCGGUGAAAUGCGUAGAGAUCGGGAGGAAUACCAGUGGCGAAGGCGGCCUUCUGGACUGACACUGACGCUGAGGUGCGAAAGCGUGGGUAGCAAACAGGAUUAGAUACCCGGGUAGUC